UGGCGCUGGUAAUUGGCAAACCCGGCGGGCGGGUCAGUGGGGACAGUGGCGCAGGCGAUCCGCGCGCAGCCGGGGUCCCCACAGCGACUGGAAGGCCUGAUGAGACUCCAGGAGUCCCCGCAGCUCCCUCAAGUCCUGUGCUGCCCAGGCAGCCAGCCCGCAGCCCCCUCCGCCUGCGACUUGCUCCUAUCUCCAAGCCCCGGUGGCUGUGGCUCCUGCUCUGUCAGCGGCCGCCGCCCACCCUAGAACUGUCUUCGCUGACCUCCCCCUUCAUCUUGAAGUCAGUGUCCUGAGCUCCUUCCCUUACAAUUGCCCAACUGAGAUCCCCGGGGACCUCUCUUGGCUCCAAUCGUGGGAAAAGCUGGGAAAGGUUGGCAGACAGCGGCGUCACCUCUCCAGCCAGGCGUGCGCGCGGUAAGCCCACCACCUGCGCCGGGCUCCUGCGUUCCUUUGCACAGCGGGAGGGAGGUGUCUUGGUGGCCUCCUCCUCACCACCGCUCAGAAAUGCUCACGGUCGGAUUCCAGGAGGGAGGAAUUUCAACCUGGAUCCGCGGAGCGGGGCUCCUGCCACGCCCCUACUUCGCCCAGCGCGCCCUCUAUUGAGAGCAAGUGGAGAGGAAGAAGGGAGCAGGAGUCUGCGGAAUGCCCUGGACGGAAGGAGUAAGACACAGACAAAACUGCCCGCCUCCUAACGGAGUAGCUGAAGCGGACCAUCUGCAGGGCUGCACCAGCGGGAGGCUCAGCCCAGAAACAAGCCAUGGUCUAAUGGUGUGUUGAGGAGAAGGCCACAAAGCGUUAUUUUCAUCACCUGAUAUGGGUAUGUACUAUUUACAUGAAUCAUUGCUGUCAAUAUUAAUCUUGAGCACCUAGCUAAGGUAGUGUGUUAGGUUUCUCUACUGGAAAUUUACUCUUUCCCCCUUUCCAAAUUGUAUUGUUUGUAAAGAAAUCACUGUGCACAACCCACACCAAAGUACCAGGGAGUGGUGCUUUCCUUUUUUGAGAGAUGUCACUGAAUCUACUUUUGCACACAGCGUGUAUUCUAACCUUUCAUUCUUGCUUAUUUGUAACUUCUUUCUUCCAACAGUGAAAAACUGGCUCCUGUUAUAUACUAUGUAUUUACUUAUUGUUUCCUAAAAUAUACAUGAAUUAGUUUUAGCACUGCUAACCCAUACCCCUAGGAUAAACAAAAUUGCCAACUAGGGUGUAGUGUUUUCAUACAGAUAGUUUUGUAUUUAGACUUAGAGUAUCCAAUCCAAAACAGUGUUUCCCAGAGUUACUUAGAUCAGCUGUUUCUCCUCAACUCUCUGCAGUGAGAUUAUAACAUACAUUUGUAAUAUAAUUAAAUUGAUUUAUUAAAGACAAAGAACAACAUGAGUUCCAGCUUACAAUCUACCACCCAGAAGGGCUUUCUGAGUCUCUGUUUCUUUAUCGGUCCAAGGAUAUUGCAGGAAUCUAGGAAGAUGCUGUGCAUAAAACAUCCCACAUGUGGUAAAGUCUAUGCCAUGUUGACCAUGACCAUAACUGCAACUGAGUUCAUUCAUCACGUUUUGAGCACAGCCAGCAUGCCAAGCACUGUGUUGGUAGUGGUAGCGGAAACAAAUAAGAUUCCUGGUCUGAUACAAAUAUUUUAUGGGAACAGUGUCUGAAAGAGGAGACACUUGUAUGGUGACAUAGGUGAGGAGACACAAGUGUGGUAGGAACACAACACACAGUGUAACAACUGUCUCCGUUGUUCAUGUUGGCUUAGCCAGUAGAUAGAGAUGGGUGAGGCACAUAUACAGAUGUCAAUCUUUAGAUUAAGUGUGGUGUAGUGGAAAGAGCAUGAGCUUUGGGCCAAAGAGAAUAAUUUGAAUCUCAUUAUUCAUAUGGCGAUUAAAUUAGUCAGUAGUCCUGGGCAAGUCAGUUCGCUUCUCUGAGCCAUAGGGCAUUGCAAUUAUUAAUCAAUAUAUGAGAGGUACUUGACCCAUUCACUCAUUCUUUUAUUCAACAAAUAAUAACAUUGUUUAAUAUAAGAGGUUAGUUAGACUGACAGGAGAUAAACAUAAAAUACAUGAAACUGAUCAUUUUUUAUGAUGCUAAAUCAUAUAAAGAUAAUAAAGUAGGAUGAUGUCAUAAAGUGACAGAAAGGGAUACAUUAGGUUGGUUGGCUAAGAAACUGCUUUCUAAAGAGAAUUUUUUUUUAGCUGAAAUGUGAAGUAUGGAAGGGAGUGGCUAUGCUCAGUGGACCGUUAUGUGAAUCUAACAAAUGAUUAUUACAGAAUCCAUGUUUUUGCCUUGAAAAAUGCAUAUCAAAUAACAGUUUGGGAAAGGACCCUAGAGAUAAUCAUAACCUGUGAUUAUGUUACCUUUAGAAUGUGUCAAAAUAAUCUAAGGAGCUAGAAAGAACUGAUGCUUAUUUUAUUUGCAUACUUUCUUAUUUAUUAUCACAUCCCAUCAUUCCUUCUUCUAAGUAGCUUAACAGAUUCUUGAGAUACUGUUUCAGUUGUCUUUUCCUGGGCCAGCUCUCCCUCUCUUCCUCUCAGUACCUGGGUUAUGGAAUUCUAUCUACAAAUCUUUAGUGAUGAUAGCAUAAAAAAAUUUGAAGCUGAAUUUCAAAAAAGACAAGUGGAAGUCUGAAGCUAGGGGCUUUUUCCUGGACCAUAAGAGGGACUGUCCCUAAGGAAAUGUUCCCUGAGACACCUUCUCUAUGUUUUCCUUCCUUUUGUUACCUCCGUAUAACUGUGGGAGAUAAUGUUAACAGCAAUAUUUAGAGAAGCCUCAAAAAAGUAAAAUGUAAAAUGUAUCCAGUGUUAAGGUUUGAUGUGCUUUUUAUAAUAUUUACACAAUUUUCUUCAAAAAGAAAUUAUUAUCAUAUAUAAAUUAUUACAAAGUAGUAUAAUAGGCACUAAUUCACUCAAGAA
rnacentral:lncRNA from 10 species